rnacentral:rRNA from 1 species
UACGUAGGUGGCAAGCGUUGUCCGGAUUUACUGGGCGUAAAGAGCGCGCCGGCGGUCGAUCAAGUCGAGUGUGAAAGCCCCCGGCUCAACUGGGGAGGGUCAUUCGAUACUGAUCGACUCGAAGGCAGGAGAGGGUAGUGGAAUUCCCGGUGUAGUGGUGAAAUGCGUAGAUAUCGGGAGGAACACCAGUGGCGAAGGCGACUACCUGGCCUGUUCUUGACGCUGAGACGCGAAAGCUAGGGGAGCAAACGGG